UUUGAAUUUUCUGAUGUGUCCAAUGAUGCAUAAUUCUUUUUUCUGUGUCAUUACAGGGCCGGACUAAGGCUUGUGUGAUCCCUAAAAAUGCUCGAUCAGAUUGGGAUCUGGAGAAUUUGCCAUCCAAGUCAACACCUUGAACUCUUUGACAUGUACCUCACACCAUUCCAGACCAAUUUUUGUGAUGUUAAGUGUUACAUUAUCCAGCUGGAAGAGGCCACUGCCAUCAGGGACAUACCAUGCUACGAAGAGGUGUACUUGGGCUGCAACAAUGUUUAGUGACACUCAUCAGCUAUCUUCCCGAACAUCCUAAGAAGGUAGUUGAGGGCAUCUGACGGCUUUGUGCUGAAUCUGUGUUAAAGUGAAGAAAACAAAACCAACAACAUUAUGUAACUGUUCAACAUUAACGUUCUAUAAAAAGUGCACAGAAACUUGUAUGAUGGUUUACAGCAGGCAAACUGGAAUAAGCACAGCAUUUGCUUUGGCGGUUAUUUUGGCACAAUUAUGGUCACGUCAAAUGAUUAUUAUUUUUACAGAAUUAUGGUCAUUUCUGUUAUUUGUAUGAAGAUUUUUUUUGCAGAAUCAUGGACAUUUCAAUAUUAAACCGGAAGAAAUAUUUUUUUACAUUUA